AGGAUGAACGCUGGCGGCGUGCCUAACACAUGCAAGUCGAGCGAUUUACUUCGGUAAAGAGCGGCGGACGGGUGAGUAACGCGUGGGUAACCUGCCUCAUACACAUGGAUAACAUACCGAAAGGUAUGCUAAUACAGGAUAAUAUAAGAGAUUCACAUGGAUUUUUUAUCAAAGCUCCGGCGGUAUGAGAUGGACCCGCGUCUGAUUAGCUAGUUGGUAAGGUAAUGGCUUACCAAGGCGACGAUCAGUAGCCGACCUGAGAGGGUGAUCGGCCACAUUGGAACUGAGACACGGUCCAAACUCCUACGGGAGGCAGCAGUGGGGAAUAUUGCACAAUGGGCGAAAGCCUGAUGCAGCAACGCCGCGUGAGUGAUGAAGGCCUUCGGGUCGUAAAACUCUGUCCUCAAGGAAGAUAAUGACGGUACUUGAGGAGGAAGCCCCGGCUAACUACGUGCCAGCAGCCGCGGUAAUACGUAGGGGGCUAGCGUUAUCCGGAUUUACUGGGCGUAAAGGGUGCGUAGGUGGUUUUUUAAGUCAGGAGUGAAAGGCUACGGCUCAACCGUAGUAAGCUCUUGAAACUGGAAAACUUGAGUGCAGGAGAGGAAAGUGGAAUUCCUAGUGUAGCGGUGAAAUGCGUAGAUAUUAGGAGGAACACCAGUAGCGAAGGCGGCUUUCUGGACUGUAACUGACACUGAGGCACGAAAGCGUGGGGAGCAAACAGGAUUAGAUACCCUGGUAGUCCACGCCGUAAACGAUGAGUACUAGGUGUCGGGGGUUACCCCCCUCGGUGCCGCAGCUAACGCAUUAAGUACUCCGCCUGGGGAGUACGCUCGCAAGAGUGAAA
rnacentral:rRNA from 1 species